CGCUUUCACUCCUACGGGAGGCAGCAGUGGGGAAUAUUGCACAAUGGGCGCAAGCCUGAUGCAGCCAUGCCGCGUGUAUGAAGAAGGCCUUCGGGUUGUAAAGUACUUUCAGCAGUGAGGAAGGUGGAGUCGUUAAUAGCGGCCUCAUUUGACGUUAGCUGCAGAAGAAGCACCGGCUAACUCCGUGCCAGCAGCCGCGGUAAUACGGAGGGUGCGAGCGUUAAUCGGAAUUACUGGGCGUAAAGCGCAUGCAGGUGGUUUGUUAAGUCAGAUGUGAAAGCCCGGGGCUCAACCUCGGAAUUGCAUUUGAAACUGGCAGACUAGAGUACUGUAGAGGGGGUAGAAUUUCAGGUGUAGCGGUGAAAAUGCGUAGAGAUCUGAAGGAAUACCGGUGGCGAAGGCGGCCCCCUGGACAGAUACUGACACUCAGAUGCGAAAGCGUGGGGAGCAAACAGGAUUAGAUACCCUGGUAG
rnacentral:rRNA from 1 species